rnacentral:rRNA from 1 species
UACGAGGGGGGCAAAUGUUGUUCGGAAUCACUGGGCGUAAAGGGUGCGCAGGCGGCCAAGUGUGUGAGGCGUGAAAGCCCGGGGCUUAACCCCGGAAUUGCACCUCAAACUACUUGGCUAGAGCAUUGGAGAGGGUAGCAGAAUUCACGGUGUAGCAGUGAAAUGCGUAGAUAUCGUGAGGAAUACCAGAGGCGAAGGCGGCUACCUGGACAAUUGCUGCCGCUCAGGCACGAAAGCGUGGGGAGCAAAAGGG